AUAAUAUUUGCAGCACAUAUGCUAAAAUUGAAACAAUAUAUAAAAGAUUUGUAUGGCCCCUGUGCAAGGAUGACACAAAAAUUUGUGAAGUGUUCCACAUUUCU